ensembl:lncRNA LINC01980 long intergenic non-protein coding RNA 1980
ACUUGGGUUCAUCUUCAUGAGGUGUAAUGGCGCCGGGAUGCGCUCUCCUCUUCUCAUUUGCCAAUUUAUUGCAGAUCCCUCCUCAAAAAAGUUUUGGGACUAACUCAGCCCCAUGGAGAUCAAGGUGAAUUAGAAAAACAACAAAACAAAACAAGAUUCAUUUUAACAUCUCAUUUUUCUAUCUCCAACUUUCCCUCCCCUCCUCCCACCCCAGGAAGAAAAGACUACGUUUGUUUCUGGUGAUACAUUCAUUGUAGGUGGGUGGGUGACUUCUAGAAGAGGAAAAUCAAGAAGAUUUGGAGAAGGAGUCUUGGAAGCUCUGGUGAAGUUUUCCAAAACUGGGAAGGACAGAGCCACAGGUCUGCCUGUUCUUUUGCUUUGCCAUUUGUGUGGAUACCUAGUAGAGCAAUUUGGGUGCCAUUCUUUGAGGAAUCCAUUGGAUCUGUCAGAAAGCUGAGUCUGCUCAGCCUGUGUUAGUGGAGAAGAGGGAAGGAAACUGGCUGGAGGCCGCUGGACCCACAGAGGACAAUAGACAAUCUCCUGCUAGAAAUGACAAACCAGUAUCUUGAGUAAAAUAAUGACUUGGACUGUAAGAAAUUAAUUAGAAAACAUCUGUGCAAUGUAGUGGAAGAAAAAGAAAAUGAGACCCAGAAGACCCAAAUCACAAAUCAAAAGGACCUCACAGAAGAUUCUACAAUUGAGAUUAUUUAUCCUGGGAUGCCCACUGGAUCCAAAGAGAGAAACUCUAUAGAAUUAUGAUCUAGGUUUGACUGACUCCUGGCAAGAAGCCCUACCCGCCAGCCAAUUUGGAUGAGAUGCCAUCAGCGACCUGCCCGUAUCGCCUUGCCCCACCGAGAAGUCAGGCCACAGACAGUUCCUGUAUAUAGCAGUGCUUCUUUUGGCUUCUGUCUGUAGGUGUUUUCUCACCACAGAAGAGUGCUCAGCCCUCUGGAAGUUCUCUAAAGAGUUAGAUCUCCCAGGGGUGAUCAUCUAUCAAUGAAGGAUGGGAAUUGGUCACAGGGGUCAUCCAUCUUUCCUUCUAUGUGACUGGUUUGCUCUUGCAUAUCAUGUUUUCCGCUCUUAUGCUCCAGAUCCAUCAUGAGAAGAACAUGCCCUGGAUUCCUGCUAUCCCUUUAGCCAUGGCUCCAAAAUUAACACACACAAGGAAGACCUGAGGUCAAUCCACAGCCUGGAUUCAAGUCACCUAAUACAUAGGAGAAUCAGAGCUACCCAGCCACACUCAAUCUACGUUAACUGAACCUCAGCUGACCUGCAGAUUUAUGAGUAUGAGAAUAAAGGCUUGUUAAUG